GAUGAACGCUAGCUACAGGCUUAACACAUGCAAGUCGAGGGGAAACGGAUAUUGGAGCUUGCUUCCGAUAGGCGUCGACCGGCGCACGGGUGAGUAACGCGUAUCCAACCUGCCCGUCACUUGGGAAUAACCUUGCGAAAGUAAGACUAAUGCCCAAUGACAUUUAUAGAAGGCAUCUGAAAUGAAUUAAAGAUUUUAUCGGUGAUGGAUGGGGAUGCGUCUGAUUAGCUUGUUGGCGGGGUAACGGCCCACCAAGGCGACGAUCAGUAGGGGUUCUGAGAGGAAGGUCCCCCACAUUGGAACUGAGACACGGUCCAAACUCCUACGGGAAGCAGCAGUGAGGAAUAUUGGUCAAUGGGCGAGAGCCUGAAACCAGCCAAGUAGCGUGCAGGAAGAACGGCCCUAUGGGUUGUAAAACUGCUUUUAUAGGGGAAUAAAGUGAGCCACGUGUGGUUUUUUGUCAUGUACCCUAAUGAAUAAGGAACCGGCUAAUUCCGUGCCAGCAGCCGCGGUAAC
rnacentral:rRNA from 1 species